rnacentral:tmRNA from 1 species
GGGGAUGUUUUUUGGAUUCGACGGGUAUAGGUCGAGUUCUAAUUGCGUUUGAAGGUGGCGCUUCUAAAAACGCUCAGUUUUUAAAUUAUAACUGCAAACAAUAAUUCACAAUCAUACGCCCUCGCUGCCUAACCGGUAAGCGGACGUAAAUCCGGACCGGGUUCGUCCAUGAUGCGGUUUCGGGUUUCAUUAAUUAGUGGACUACGUUGUUAGCUUCAGCUGGGGGUUAGCGAAAGAGAUUUUCCCAGCUCGCCUAGCAUGUUUGCCUUGAUUAGCGGCGUUUUGGUAGGUUAAAUUCUUAAGUAGUUAAUCUAUGAGCGUAGAGGUUAGGAUGGCGAUAUGCUCGGACAGGGGUUCGACUCCCCUCAUCUCCAUUU